rnacentral:misc_RNA from 1 species
CCGAGUACCGGGUCCUCUGGGCCCAUACUCCCACCCUUUGUGUACCUACCAAUGUUUCGUUGCCUUGGCGGGGUUGAUCCCUGGGCCUCACGGCCCCGGGGGACCCGCCGGGGGGACACCAUUAAACUCUUGUCAACUGUGUUGUCUGAGAAAACAAUCAAUAAGUUA